CUUGCUCUUCAGCCUUCCAUCAGGAUGAUGCAGGCUGAAGGCCUUCACCAGAUGUCAGCACCUGGAUCUUGGGCUUCUCAGUCUCCAGCCUGAGAAAUACAAGCAAGAUACUUAUUUCCCACAGUAAGGCAAACAUUUUUACACAGAAACCAUUGAACAGUAAAUGCAUCCUCAGGCACUGGUACCUCCAGAAGGCUGAGUGUGAGAGAAGAGCAGAUACUGAAUUACCAGUCCCAUCUUUCUCUCCGAUUGUUCAUGCUCAGGGGUCAGAAUCAUUCAUUAAAUUAUUACAGACAUUGUCA